UACGUAGGGUGCGAGCGUUGUCCGGAAUUACUGGGCGUAAAGAGCUCGUAGGUGGUUUGUCGCGUUGUUCGUGAAAACCGGGGGCUUAACCCUCGGCGUGCGGGCGAUACGGGCAGACUUGAGUACUGCAGGGGAGACUGGAAUUCCUGGUGUAGCGGUGGAAUGCGCAGAUAUCGGGAGGAACACCAGUGGCGAAGGCGGCUUCCUGGCCUGUUCUUGACGCUGAGGCGCGAAAGCUAGGGGAGCAAACGGG
rnacentral:rRNA from 1 species